CCUACGGGAGGCAGCAGUAGGGAAUAUUGCUCAAUGGGGGAAACCCUGAAGCAGCAACGCCGCGUGGAGGAUGAAGGUUUUCGGAUCGUGAACUCCUUUUGUCAGAGAAGAUAAUGACGGUAUCUAACGAAUAAGCACCGGCUAACUCCGUGCCAGCAGCCGCGGUAAUACGGAGGGUGCAAGCGUUACUCGGAAUCACUGGGCGUAAAGAGAGCGUAGGCGGGAUAGCAAGUCAGAUGUGAAAGCCUAUGGCUUAACCAUAGAACUGCAUUUGAAACUGUUAUUCUAGAGUAUGGGAGAGGUAGGUGGAAUUCUUGGUGUAGGGGUAAAAUCCGUAGAGAUCAAGAGGAAUACUCAUUGCGAAGGCGACCUGCUAGAACAUAACUGACGCUGAUGCGCGAAAGCGUGGGGAGCAAACAGGAUUAGAUACCCCGGUAGUC
rnacentral:rRNA from 1 species